rnacentral:rRNA from 1 species
UUAAAUUGAAGAGUUUGAUCAUGGCUCAGAUUGAACGCUGGCGGCAGGCCUAACACAUGCAAGUCGAACGGUAACAGAAAGCAGCUUGCUGCUUUGCUGACGAGUGGCGGACGGGUGAGUAAUGUCUGGGAAACUGCCUGAUGGAGGGGGAUAACUACUGGAAACGGUAGCUAAUACCGCAUAACGUCGCAAGACCAAAGAGGGGGACCUUCGGGCCUCUUGCCAUCGGAUGUGCCCAGAUGGGAUUAGCUUGUUGGUGGGGUAACGGCUCACCAAGGCGACGAUCCCUAGCUGGUCUGAGAGGAUGAC